UAAUAAUUUUAACUGGGAUGAAUGUAAUCACACUAUCAAAUGUCUCCCUCUUAAUUACUCGAAUUUCCUGUGUAGGUGAAAAAGCCUAUGAUAAAAUGGGACGAGAAACCCUUACAAUUUACUAAUGUCUAUUUCACUGGGGCGGUGCUAGCAUUGGAUUGCUAUAGUUNCCUACAGACGGCUGUNUCANGAAUGAAAAAAUUACCUAAGGGAUAACAGCAUAUUUUAUAAUCCAGAUUGUGACCUCCAUGUUGGACUACGGAAUUCUAGGUCACAAGCUC
rnacentral:rRNA from 1 species